AUGUGUACUCGCGGCAUUGCGUGGUCUGUGCAGGUGCUGAUGCAGGCAGAUCCGUUCCUGAGCGAGCUGACCAACAUGUACGAGCGGAGCACGGAGAAGGGCUCCGUGUGGGUCACCAUGAAGCGAUCGUCGAUGAAGUGUCAGGCUAGGUUGAAGAAGAUGGCGAGUAAGGGGGAGCCUGUUGAGUACCGGUGCCUGGUCCGCGCCACCGAUGGCAAGAGGAACAUCUCCACCUCGCUGUCUGCAAAGGAGUAUCUGAAAUUCCAAGCUUCGUAUGCCCUGGUUCUUAAAGCCCAUAUGCAUGCCUUGAAGAAGAGGGAGAGGAAGGACAGGAAGAAGACGGUCGAGGCAGAGAAGAUACCCGAGAAGGAACCGAAGAAGCAGAAGAAAUCAUCUUCGAAGAAGUCCGCAGGGUCUAAGUAG
rnacentral:rRNA from 1 species